GGAUAUCACACACUACAAACAAGACAAGACAUUGCAUCUAUCUACUUCUGAUACAGAAACAACUCUGCAGAUAUCUGUGAGAGACAAGCCAAACUUUCUUUAGUUUAAACUCAGUUCAAAUGGACAGAGACAGAUCACGCAUGAACUCCUUUGAUGGAGACGAACACCUCCACCAGCUUGAUUUGGUGGAGGCUGUUGCACAGAGCGGUAGGUUCCAUGAAGAAGAGAUCGCAUGGCUGCGGUUCUUCAUCAGUAAUGGACAGGAGCAUGAAGCCAUCGCUUA